rnacentral:rRNA from 1 species
AUUGAACGCUGGCGGCAGGCCUAACACAUGCAAGUCGAACGGUAACAGGAUGCAGCUUGCUUCUUUGCUGACGAGUGGCGGACGGGUGAGUAGUGUCUGGGAAACUGCCUGAUGGAGGGGGAUAACUACUGGCAACGGUAGCUAAUACCGCAUAACGUCGCAAGACCAAAGAGGGGGACCUACGGGCCUCUUGCCAUCGGAUGUGCCCAGAUGGGAUUAGCUAGUAGGUGGGGUAACGGUUCACCUAGGCGACGAUCCCGACCUGGUCUGAGAGGAUGACCAGCCACACGGGAACUGAGCCACGGUCCAGACUCCUACGGGAGGCAGCAGUGGGGAAUAUUGGACAAUGGGCGCAAGCAUGAUGCAGCCAUGCCGCGUGUAUGAAGAAGGCCUUCGGGUUGUAAAGUACUUUCAGCGGGGGGGAAGGGAGUAAAGUUGAUACCUUUGGUCAUUGACGGUACCCGCAGAAGAAGCACCGGCUAACUACGUG